UAUCUUACAGCAGGGAGAAUGCCUGAAGUGUUCUCAAAAAAUAUUGUGAUAAACUACCAUCCUAAAGCAGAAAGGGGCCUGAUUACUCAAUGCAGGGAGAAGCUUUUUAAGACAUGGGUAUAAUCAUUGAAGAGACAUGCUGAUGGUGUAAGGAUCAACUUAGGAGAGGCUGUCUGACUGUGGAGCAAGAGACCAGAGGUCCAAUCAGGUGCUGAAAAUAGCCAGUUAUUUCUCAAGGGCUGCACAAAGAAACCUCUGCCCUUCCCUCUGGACCUUCAGUUACCACCCCCUUGGGAGAAGUCUGUUGUCCUAAUCCCACUCCACCCCCAGGAUUAUAGACUUAAUUCCUACUCUCCUGCUGGGGCUUGUUCUAGUCCCAGGUCUCAGACACCUAACCCUCAAGCUUGAGGUACUCAAAGUCUCCAAGAGGGACACUGGGAGGGAGUUCACAAGAGAAGGCUGAAAAAAAACCAUCAGAUGCUGGUAUAAUUGAUAUGGAUACUUUUGGGUCCAUUAUUAUGUUAUUUAAAAACAAGAUCUAAGCUGUGUGUAGAUAUACUUUAUGCACUAUGUAGAUUUCACUAACAUUGUAAUUUUCCCUUCUGCUUUUUAAAAAGUCAUGUUUGAUUAAAACUAAA